rnacentral:tRNA from 1 species
GGAGGGGUGUCCGAGCGGCUUAAGGAGGCGGUCUUGAAAAUCGUUGGGCUCCUUGCGGGCCCCGUGGGUUCGAAUCCCACCCCCUCCGCCA